AUCCGUAACUGGUCUGAGAGGAUGAUCAGUCACACUGGAACUGAGACACGGUCCAGACUCCUACGGGAGGCAGCAGUGGGGAAUAUUGGACAAUGGGCGAAAGCCUGAUCCAGCCAUGCCGCGUGUGUGAAGAAGGUCUUCGGAUUGUAAAGCACUUUAAGUUGGGAGGAAGGGCAGUUACCUAAUACGUGAUUGUUUUGACGUUACCGACAGAAUAAGCACCGGCUAACUCUGUGCCAGCAGCCGCGGUAAUACAGAGGGUGCAAGCGUUAAUCGGAAUUACUGGGCGUAAAGCGCGCGUAGGUGGUUUGUUAAGUUGGAUGUGAAAUCCCCGGGCUCAACCUGGGAACUGCAUUCAAAACUGACUGACUAGAGUAUGGUAGAGGGUGGUGGAAUUUCCUGUGUAGCGGUGAAAUGCGU
rnacentral:rRNA from 1 species